rnacentral:lncRNA from 1 species
AAAAACAAGAGAAAUAAAAAAAAACGAAAACAAGGUAAGAAGAUGAAGGUUAAAAAGGACUCGUGGCACAAAGGAAUCCAGACUGAGAAAAGAGACAAUGUCCUAGUUUUGGACAAGAGGUGCAACAAGGUUUGGAGCCUGAAAUACCCCUCAUAACAAAGGGAAUGAACCUUUGAGCCAUGUGACGUUAAACGAAGCACUUCGUGGGAGGCAACCCACGCAUUUUAAAUUUAAUCAAUUAUGUGUGUGUAGGUUUAUACAUGAGCUCUACAAGGAGGGAACAUCAC